rnacentral:rRNA from 1 species
AACGAACGCUGGCGGCAUGCCUAACACAUGCCAGUCGAACGAGACCUUCGGGUCUAGUGGCGCACGGGUGCGUAACGCGUGGGAACCUGCCCUUAGGUUCGGAAUAACUCCCCGAAAGGGGUGCUAAUACCGGAUAAUGUCUUCGGACCAAAGAUUUAUCGCCUUUGGAUGGGCCCGCGUUGGAUUAGCUAGUUGGUAGGGUAAAAGCCUACCAAGGCGACGAUCCAUAGCUGGUCUGAGAGGAUGAUCAGCCACACUGGGACUGAGACACGGCCCAGACUCCUACGGGAGGCAGCAGUGGGGAAUAUUGGACAAUGGGCGAAAGCCUGAUCCAGCAAUGCCGCGUGAGUGAUGAAGGCCUUAGGGUUGUAAAGCUCUUUUACCCGGGAAGAUAAUGACAGUACCGGGAGAAGAAGCUCCGGCUAACUCCGUG